rnacentral:rRNA from 2 species
AAGCCCCCCUCAAGAUGAGAUUUCCCAUAGCGCAAGCUAGUAAGAUCCCUGAAAGAUGAUCAGGUUGAUAGGUCAGAGGUGGAAGCGUGGCGACAUGUGUAGCUGACUGAUACUAAUCGAUCGAGGACUUAACCAA